rnacentral:rRNA from 1 species
AUUGAACGCUGGCGGCAUGCUUUACACAUGCAAGUCGAACGGUAACAGGCCGCAAGGUGCUGACGAGUGGCGAACGGGUGAGUAAUGCAUCGGAACGUGCCCAGUCGUGGGGGAUAACGCAGCGAAAGCUGCGCUAAUACCGCAUACGAUCUAUGGAUGAAAGCGGGGGACCGUAAGGCCUCGCGCGAUUGGAGCGGCCGAUGUCAGAUUAGGUAGUUGGUGGGGUAAAGGCUCACCAAGCCAACGAUCGGUAGCUGGUCUGAGAGGACGACCGGCCACACUGGGACUGAGAAACGGCCCAGACUCCUACGGGGGGCAGCAGUGGGGAAUUUUGGACAAUGGGCGCAAGCCUGAUCCAGCAAUGCCGCGUGCAGGAAGAAGGCCUUCGGGUUGUAAACUGCUUUUGUACGGAACGAAACGGUCCUGGUUAAUACCCGGGGCUAAUGACGGUACCGUAAGAAUAAGCCCCGGCUAACUUCGUGCCAGCCGCCGCAGUAAGAC